rnacentral:rRNA from 1 species
UACGGAGGGUGCAAGCGUUAUCCGGAUUCACUGGGUUUAAAGGGUGCGUAGGUGGGCAAGUAAGUCGCGUGUGAAAGCCCCCGGCUCAACUGGGGAGGGUCACGCGAUACUGCUCGACUCGAAGGCAGGAGAGGGAAGUGGAAUUCCCGGUGUAGUGGUGAAAUGCGUAGAUAUCGGGAGGAACACCAGUGGCGAAGGCGACUUCCUGGCCUGUUCUUGACGCUGAGGCGCGAAAGCUAGGGUAGCAAACGGG